GUGGUUUCACUAUGGCAAUAAAGGCUUCUUGGAAUAGGCGUUUUGGACCCGAGGGCAGUGCUCGGCAUCUCCACCA
rnacentral:tmRNA from 1 species